GAGAAAUGAGCGGGAAAAAUUACAGCUGCAGUAAUUUUAGUUUUUGCUUUGAUUGCACACUACAGUGGGUCAGUGCUGUCAGUAGGUGGUAGUUGCUGCAGCUUUGAGGGAAGAGAAACCCACGACCACGUACAAGUACACUAAGUAUCCAAUGUGCUUUUGUCCUUUAUCAUGAAUAGUCUAUAUUAUUAUUUACUUUAAUAUGGGAAGAAGUUGGAUAAAAGCUUCCAGCGAGAUAAAACAUAUGUGGAUGGCCCAGAUUGGAUCGUUCCCGACAUGGCUAACGACGAGUGGCUCGCAAAGUGGACGCAGGUGCGACCCAAGCUGCUUUAUGACAAAACUAGCGAUCACACUGCCCAGUUGUUGGAACUAGUGGAGUUUUAGAAAUGAAUAAACCCUUUAGACAUUACGAGUUUACGACAAUUGGCUCUGGGUGACACCUUCAGUGAACUAUUUACCAAAUCUUAGGCUGCAGACAUAACCUGCUCCCCAUUAUUCUUCCUGCAUUAGAAACUAAUUAAGCACGUCAAGAACCAAAUCCGUGAAUGAGCAAUCGAUAACAGCCUAACGGGAAUCCAAUCACCCUAUCAAAGAAAGUUACGCAAAAACUACAAGUCCUCUCGACCCAACUUGCCAAUCACCCGGAGGACACCCCCCCCCUAAGAAGUAAAUGCUCGAAAUUUAAGAAAUUAAAGACCUCAGACAUAACCGAACAUGUUUGAAUUUUUAAAACGAUGAAUUGUAGAAUAAUGAACAACGACUUAAUGUAAGUGAUAUUAAUGAAGAACGACUUCAAGAGAGUUACAUUGUAAACUGCAAAAGAGUGAUAGAUUAUGAAAAGAAAUAGAAGUAAAAAAAAUGAAAUAGAUAGACAAAGGGUGUUUUGUU
rnacentral:lncRNA from 1 species